rnacentral:rRNA from 1 species
UACAGAGGGGCCAAGCGUUGUCCGGAUUGACUGGGCGUAAAGCGCACGCAGGUGGCCGUGCAAGUGUCGUGUGAAAGCAGCUCGCUCAACGAGCUAAGGCAUGGCAGACUGCAUGGCUCGAGCCCGUGAGAGGUCGGUGGAAUUGCCGGUGUAGUAGUGAAAUGCGUAGAGAUCGGCAGGAACACCCAAGGAGAAGCCAGCCGACUGGCACGGUGCUGACACUGAGGUGCGAGAGCGUGGGGAGCAAACGGG